rnacentral:lncRNA from 1 species
CCUUUCCUUUCUCUCUCUUUUCUUUCCUCCCUUCCUUUCUUUCUUGUGAAUGGGGGGAAAAAAGUAAAACCAAGGGGUAGGAAGUCAUGGAGACAUGUGAUAGGGCACUAAAUUAUAGUUAGAUAAGAGAAGCUAGUGCCGGUGUUAACUGCAGUAGGGCUAUUGUAGAUAAUAACGUGCUUAUGUUUCAAAAAACAAGAAGACGCAAUGUCUGAGACCCUGGGCUUUGUCCUAUCUAUGAUAAUUUCUCAGUCUUAUUUUUUCAUGAUCCUGGCAUUUCUUUUGUUUGUUUUUUUGAGAAAAGGCCUCACUCUGCAGAUCAGGUUAACUUUGAACUCAUGGCUAUCUGUCUGGUUUAGCUUCCCAAGGUUGGGAUUACAAGUUACUAACCCCCAGUCCCAGCAACCUUGGCCCUAUGAAGAGCACUGUUUAGGUAUUUUUGUAGAAUGUUCCAUGAGGCCUUAUCUCAUGUUUCUCUAAAUCAGACUGUGGUUAUUGGUUUGAAGAAAGAAGGUCACAGGAUGACGUACCCCUCUCCUUGAGUCAUGUUGUUGAUACAUGAUAGCAGUGUCCCUUGUGGCCAGGAUGUUAACCUUAGUCACGUGGUCCCAAGGUCAUGUCUGCUGCCAGGUUUCUUUACUGUAAAGUUACUCUUCUUUUCCUUCCUUGAGAAUUGAGCCUCUGAGUCCAGUCUUCAUUCAAGGGUAAGAGAAUUGAGUUCUGCUUCCCAGGAGAGGGGCAUCAAAGUGGGGACAGCUAUUAAAUCCACUGCAGCAAUUAGGGGCUCCAAGAAGACACUUUGAGGCUGUAUUCUGUGUCUCUGUAACCAUUUCAUUCUCUUUUUGAGUAUUGGUCAGUGGAUCUUGCCUACAGCAAAUCUUCAAGAAAAAGAGAACACUUUUCAACUUGAAACACCACAUUACCCAUUGUUUGAGGAAGCAUGCAAUGUCAAUAAGCUAUUAUGAAACCAGCCUUUGUAUUGUAUUAACCACAAUCAAAUCUACACGCUCUAGAUGAACUUAAAAUGUAUUCAGAACUGGGACCCACCGCUGUGACCAUGUUCAGUCUGAAUGAGUGAAAUCUUGCCUCUUUGCUAAAUAGUUCUCACUCCUGCCCUGCUCAGAGAAGCCCAUGCCACCCUCAGGCUUUGCAACCCUCUUCUUAUCUCCACACAACAGAAACAAAACAGUUAAAAAAAAAAAGAAGAAAGAAAAAGAAAAUGCUUCAGACCUUUCAUUUGUGACUACAUUACCAUCUAACUAUAAGGCCCCAUGUUGCUCAGGUUUGUCUUCAGUUCGUUUGCAGCUAAGGAUGACCUUCAACUCCUGGAGAUCCUCCAAACAUCACAGGCCUUCACCACCACACUUGGUUACCUAUGACAGUGCUUCACUGUGUAGCCCAGGCUGACCUGGCAUUGAGACAUCCCUGCCUCCAUCUUAGUGCAGGACCGCAGCCUGUUUAACAUGUCCUAAAGGUCUGAAGAGCCCUCAUCCAGUGGCUGACAGAAGCAGAGGCAGACAUCCACGGAUAUACACUGAACUGAACUCUGGGACCUAGUUGCAGAGAGGGAGGAAUGAAAAUCAAAGGGGUUGGUACCAGGCUGGUGAAACCCACAGAAACAGCUGGCCUGAACAAGGGGGAGCACAUGGAUCCCAGACUACUGUCUGGGAGGCCAGCACGGGACUGAUCUGACCCCUGAACAUGGAUGUCAAUGAGGAGGCCUCUGCACUCCUCAUUGCACUCUAGGGGGCCCCUGGUAGUAGAUUAGUAUUUUUCCCUGGUAUAAGAAGGGACUUUGAGAGCCCAUCUACGUGAAGGGAUGCAAUCUUGGCCUGGACACACGGAGGAGGGC